rnacentral:lncRNA from 1 species
GCAUGCCAAAUGGGGAAGGGUGGGCUUGGGAGAGUCCCUCCCUAGAGGAGGGAGAAGGAGCCUGCAGAACAGGUUCAAGGGAAUUCAAGGGCUGCCUGGGAGCCUGCACCCCUGUUCCAGCCGAACAUCUUUGUCUCUCGUCUCUCUUGUUCAAUUUUACUGCAUCCCAGUUUUUCUAAAGUCAGGCUCUCAGCAGCCGGGGAUGCUGGCUUCAAGGUCCACAGGAAUGGUGCCUGGGGAAUUUGCAUAGCUACCUUGGCUACAGGCAAGCAAAAGGUUGCCAUGGAAACCCUUCAUCCCUUCUCAGACCUGCAGCCUGUUCUCCCUCCCCUGAUGCUCCAUCCCUCACCUCCCCACCACAAAGGGGCACGGGAAACCAGAGCGCCCCAACAAAGGCAGAUGUACUUAAGGGUUAUCUUUUGAUGCGAGCUGGCUUCCUUGCCUCUGGUCCCCUUCAAACCCAUCCUUGCGUGCUGCCCAAAUAAUUAUUACUUGUCCAGUUCAGAUCAUGUCAUUUCCCUGCUCAAAACCCUCCGUGGCUCCCCAUUGCUGAAGGAGCAAACACAAACCCCUCGUUCUGCUAUUUAAGUCUCCCUCUCUGUCUCUCUUCUCCAACUCAGCUGCACUGAAAUCCCAUCAGUCUGUGGUUUCCCAGAGGGAUCCCUACAGCCUUGUUCAUUGUUGCUUCCCUGGUGCCUCGUAUAGCUCCUGGUGCGUAGUAGGCACUUGGGAAGGGGGAAAAAUAUAAAAGAAGGGAGGAAUAAAAAGUGCCAACUUUUCCUACCCUCAACAUAGCCUUUGCUUCAGUUUCCUGUGAGACAAAUUGGAGUUUGACAUCCCUCCUCAAGAUGCCUCCUCCAAGACCAGGUAGGUGCACACCUCAACUCCUGCCAAAUUCUUCCUAUCCUUAGAGCGCUCAAUGCAGAUGCCACUUCCUCCAGUAAGACUUCCUAGAUACACUAUUUAAAACAAAUAUCUCUCUGUUCUAGAGUUCCCUGUGGCUGAGCUGUGUGUGCAGAGAGCACCUUUCUCUCUCCUUGGGAAGCCCUUUGAAUGUAGAAACUCUGCAUUCCUCAUUCCUGUGCCCUCCCUCUCCCCAGUGGCUAGGACUUAACACCAAAGGGUGCUCAGGAAACAAAUGGAAGCAGGGCACUAACCAACUCCAGGAGGACUGGGAGCAUGUUUCCCGCUGAAUCCCUGCCAUCUUGACCACUGCCUGGCAAGAGAAGACACUCUACCAACAUUUUUUUAGGUAAAUAAAAGAAUUCAUUUUUCAAGUCUUCAUCAAGAACCACUAUGUGUACAGUGCUAUGUUAAGUUCUGGUAAGUUUCAUGUUAAUCCGAGGCCCCAGCAUCUCCUCUUCCAAGGAGCAACCAACUCCAGAAUAAUAAUAAUUGUUCUUUUUUACAUUGCUUUUAUUUUUCUUUUUUCUCUCUCCAUUUCCACGGGUAUCAAUAGUCGUGGUUCUUAAACCACUUUUCCAGUUUCUCAAGCACUUUCAGCCCUAUGAUCACACAAGACCCUCACCAACAAGCCAGCAAGCCACGAGCUUGAGCUGGACUUACUAUCAUUAUCCCGAUUUUCCAAAUAAGGAAGCCAAGACUCAGAGAGGUAGAGAGGUUUGUCCAAGAUCACCCAGCCAGGGAGGGGCUUGAGCCCAGGGCAGUGUGCCUCAUACAGAAUGAGCCUGGCCCCAUGGACUGGAGGAUAUCAGUGAAGGAGCAUCUCAGGAAGCAGCCCCGAGGUUGUGUUAGGAAGCAUUUAUUGAGUGCCUACUGUGUGAAGUCAGCCUCUGUGCUGGGCAUGGCAUGCAACCCCGUGCACUGAGACAGAAAUGGGGAAUUGGGGCUCCAUGAUUUCAGCAACCUGCCUGGGCAGCAAGUCUGAAUGCCAGCUUCACUGACAGCUGUUUGAUUUGGUCAAGUGACACCUUGUCUUUGAGCUCUGGAGACACCUGUAGCGGCAUCUGCAUCCACCUCCCCUAACACCUGCCCACCCACUGAAUAAGUCAGUUUUCCAUGAGCCUCUGAGGUAUGGUGGCUCUCCUCAAUGUGCACCAAGUCCCUUAACCAUAGUUAAUCACAGAAUCUCACUUUAAAUAAACCUUAAGGGAGCCUAGCUUGUCCUCCCGGUGUCCUUGGUGCCCAGACUCAUGUGCCAUUAAGCCUGUGACAUUAAUGGAGAGUUACUCCAGCCUGUGGCAUGAGGCAAAGAGGCUCCUCCUAAGAUAAGAUGGGAAUCUGAGAGCCCAAAAGCUAUAUUUAAGGGAAUUUUAGAAGUGUUUGUUUUUAAAAUGUAAUGAAAUGGUUAUUAUCAACUUUUUUCCUUUCUCCUCCUGCCUUCUUCCCAAACAGGUGCAGUGAGAUUAGUGGUAAUUUAAAAAGCAGGAUUGCCUCUGUGUCAAUUUCCCGCUAAUGAGCAAAACUCGCCGUGUAAUUGCUAUGUAUUGAACGAAGCAACAAUACAUUUUCAGUGGCUGUUUAAUAUGCUGGGGCUUGGUUUAACAGAUGUUCUGAGACUCGCUUUCCAAGACGGAGGAGCCAAGCCCAGAAGAAGAAGGUGACAUUUCCCUUUCUUUUGCCUCUGUCCAGUGCUGCAUCCCUUGGAGGGCAUGAGGCAAGGCCACGUGAGACACAGUCGGUGCUAGAUUCCUGGAGGCAGAGCUGAGGGUAGGUCUUGAAACCAGCGAGGGUAGCAAGCAGAGGAAGAUGACGAUCCAUUCCUCUUCUGAUCUUCACUAUAAGGGGCACCAAGCCCUGGGUCAUGACAAGGUCUUAUAUUUAGCAUGGACUUGCAACCAAAGGUAAGCUCCACGAGGGCAAGGAUUUAUGGCCUUUUUCUUCCAUGGAUGACUCUGAAACGCCUAGAACAGUACCUGGCACACAGUAGGUGCUCCACUAAUGCUGAAUGAAUGAUGCAUGUGGAAGGCUGAGUCUGGUUCCCACAACACAGUAGUAGCUCAAUAAUGAUAGCAUAUAACAUUAUUAUUUAAUUAUUAUUAAAUUGCCUCAAGCAAUUUUGUGUCCACUGUCUGUCAGGACUGGAUGGGACCAGAUGCCAUUAACUACAUACUCAGUCCUCCCAACAACCAAGUAUAAGGCAGGUACUAUUAUCGUGCCCAUUUGACAGAGGCUCAGGAAUGACUGCCCACAUUCACACAGUUGACAAGGAAUAGGGGGCUGAUUCAGCAUCACACCUAGGCCUGAGUCCCAAGUCCUCUUUUCAGGACUUGGGUGCCUGAAUGUGGGACGUACCUGAUGAAUGGGACUCUCCUUCCAUCAAAGAGGAGGGGCUGUUUGGUUUGAGCCUUUGAAAAAAAGUCAAACACAAGAGGAGAGAGGGUAUAUGAGACAGAGGGAACAGCAUGAGCAAAGGUGUGGGGGUCUACCAGAUGUAUUUCUUGUGCAUCCUCUAUGUGCCCAGCCCAAGGCAAGAUGCAAUGGUGUGUGUGUGUGUGUGUGUGUGUGUGUGAGUGUGUGUGUGUGUGUGUGUGUGUCUGUAUGUGUGUAUGUGU